rnacentral:rRNA from 1 species
UGGUGGAGUGAGUUGCCUGGUUAAUUCCGUUAACGAACGAGACCCCGACCCGCUAAAUCAUCGCACGUAGCUGCGGCAGCGUGUCGAACUUCUUAGGGGACUUUGUGUGCAUAAUGCAAGGAAGUACGAGGCAAUAGCA